UGCUUCCCGCCUUGCGAACGGCUCACUCAUAUCGUGUGCUGGAGGUCAGGGUGCAUGCCUGACCUCCAUUACAAGAUAUGAGUGAGGAUCGAAUUCCAUGCAGGUCAGCUCA